rnacentral:rRNA from 1 species
GGUGAACGCUGGCGGCGUGCUUAAGACAUGCAAGUCGAACGGCAGUCUUCGGACUGUAGUGGCGCACGGGUGAGUAACGCGUAACUGACCUACACCAAAGUCGCGGAUAACGAUUCGAAAGAAUCGCUAAUACGUGAUGUGCUGUCAGAUUGUGUUCUGCCAGUAAAGAUUGAUUGCUUUGGGAUGGGGUUGCGUUCCAUCAGCUAGUUGGUGGGGUAAAGGCCCACCAAGGCGACGACGGAUAGCCGGCCUGAGAGGGUGGCCGGCCACAGGGGCACUGAGACACGGGUCCCACUCCUACGGGAGGCAGCAGUUAGGAAUCUUCCACAAUGGGCGAAAGCCUGAUGGAGCGACGCCGCGUGAGGGAUGAAGGUCUUCGGAUCGUAAACCUCUGAAUCAGGGACGAAAGACACUUCGGUGGAUGACGGUACCUGAGUAAUAGCACCGGCUAACUCCGUGCCAGCCGCCGCAGUAACAC